rnacentral:rRNA from 1 species
CAGCAGCCACGGUAAUACGUAGGUGGCAAGCGUUGUCCGGAAUUAUUGGGCGUAAAGGGCUCGCAGGCGGUUUCGUAAGUCUGAUGUGAAAGCCCCGGGCUCAACCGGGGAGGGUCAUUGGAAACUAGGAAACUUGAGUGCAGAAGAGGAGAGUGGAAUUCCACGUGUAGCGGUGAAAUGCGUAGAGAUGUGGAGGAACACCAGUGGCGAAGGCGACUCUCUGGUCUGUAACUGAUGCUGAGGAGCGAAAGCGUGGGGAGCGAACAGGAUUAGAUACCCGCGUAGUCCCUGUCUCUUAUAU